rnacentral:tRNA from 1 species
ACAGAAAAUAGUUUAAUAAAUAUUAAUUUUGGAAAUUAAAGUAAAAGAAUCACUUUCUUUUUUUCUG